ACGAAGCUGGAAUCGCUAGUAAUCGCGGAUCAGCACGCCGCGGUGAAUACGUUCCCGGGCCUUGUACACACCGCCCGUCACACCAUGGAAGUCUGCAAUGCCCGAAGCCGGUGGCCUAACCACUUAUGUGGAAGGAGCCGUCUAAGGCAGGGCAGAUGACUGGGGUGAAGUCGUAACAAGGUAAC
rnacentral:rRNA from 1 species